rnacentral:antisense_RNA from 16 species
CUUCAACGAGCCCAGCCAGAGCGGCCGGUCCACCGGGCGGCCCUGGCCGUAGGUGGCCAGCAGUGCCUGUGCCUC